AGAGAGGCCAUAAGAAUUAAAGUGCCUCUAAAAGAAUAUACAAUGUUAUCAACACAAUACAGAACAUAAUAAUCAGAAGAACGUCUGGGUGCUAGUAGCUGUCACAGUACCAAAUCCCACAGAAGAGAUCAAGGCAUGGUAUGGUCCAUCCCAUUGUUAUAAAACCCGAACUGACCCGGCAGGUUGACUAGGUAAACCAGUGACCUGAACGUAAAAUUGAGCCGGUUCUCUUAUUGAACCAGAUAAGAAGUUUAACCGAAAAAAUCCAGAUGACCCAGUGACCCGUUGACCCAGUUAAUUUAAAAUUUUUUUAACUGAAAAUUUUUAAAUAU
rnacentral:misc_RNA from 1 species